rnacentral:lncRNA from 1 species
AAGAUUGAUUUAGAAAUUAAGCAACAGAAUUCUCCAUGGAUCUAAGAAAAAUUGACUAAAAUAUUUAAUCUGUCUGAAUUUUGUUUGCAAAAUAGAAACAGACAAAUACACUUGACCCCCUUUAAAAUUCUAGGAUCAAAAAAUUGUGUUAUAACUUUUCCCCAUUGAUGCCCUAUUCAUUGCACACAUUUUUUGAAGUUCUUCUUAUAAAUGCAGAACUUUAAACUAACAAAAGUAAAAUAUUAAAAGUGUUGAAUUACCAGCCAUAACAGUGAUACAACUUCUGUUGACAUACAGAAAGUAAGAACUAUUUCUUUCUCCUUUACUUCUUUAUUGGAAUUAAAACUUCAUCUUCAUAAUCUUUCUGAACCUCAAUUUCCUCAUCUAUGAAAGAAAGGCUUAAAAACAGAAGAUGAUCUCGAGGGUUUCUACAGCACAAAUAGUCUGUGAUUCUAUGAGAUUUCAGAAAGGAAGUAAAGAAUCAAUUGCUGCCAGGUCCAGUGGUGGUGCACACCUGUAAUCCCAGCAAUUUGGGAGGCUGAGGCAGGAGGAUCACAAGUUCAAGGCCAAGCUUGGCAACUAAGCAAAACUGUCUCAAAAUUUUUUUAAAAAGGGGGGGG